CCUACGGGAUGCUGCAGUGAGGAAUAUUGGUCAAUGGACGCAAGUCUGAACCAGCCAAGCCGCGUGCAGGAAGACGGCUCUAUGAGUUGUAAACUGCUUUUGUAGGGGGGUAAACGCCGAUACGUGUAUCUUUCUGAGCGUAUCCUACGAAUAAGGAUCGGCUAACUCCGUGCCAGCAGCCGCGGUAAUACGGAGGAUUCAAGCGUUAUCCGGAUUUAUUGGGUUUAAAGGGUGCGUAGGCGGAGGAUAAAGUCGAGGUGAAAAUCCCGGGGCCAAACUCGGAACUGCCGCUGAUACUGUUUGGCUAGAGAGUAGUUGAGGUAGGCGGAAUGUAUGGUGUAGCGGUGAAAUGCUUAGAGAUCAUACAGAACACCGAUUGCGAAGGCAGCUUACCAAGCUACGUCUGACGUUGAGGCACGAAAGCGUGGGGAGCAAACAGGAUUAGAUACCCCGGUAGUC
rnacentral:rRNA from 1 species